GAAAUCUCUUUGUCAAAAUAUGGUCUCAAUAAUAUCAUAAAUCAAUAAUUACUAAUCUUAAACAUACUUUUAAAGGUAAUCUAGUACAAUAUGACUUUAGUUAUAUUUGUUUUUUCUUAAAGUUUGAAUCUUUCUGAAGUUCAUCUCUAAUUUUCUUUAUUGCAUCAAAAACUCUUGGUGUUGUCUUUUUGAUAUGCAUCCAAAAGUUGUGAAGAGUUUUAGACGCGAUAAUUGCUUCCUUACGUGUCAAUAUUUAAGAAAGUUUCACAUUAUCGUCUUCAAGUUCUUCACCAACAUUAUAAACAGAAAUCACAAUUUCUUCGAAAAACUCUGAAUUUUUGAGUAUGCUUCAUUUGCACCUAGAUAUUCGAGUAGGCUAUUGACAUUUAUUCUAUUCCGAAAGAAGAUAGUGUUAUAUUUUGCUUAAAUAUUUCUAUAAAUUAAUAAAUAUUAAUUUAUCCUGUAAAAUAAUAUUUAUUAAUUUAUAGAAUAAAUUAAUUUCACUAUAAAUUAAGAAAAUUUCAUGGUCCCAACAUUAUUAAUUUAUAGAAUUUCUACUGUAUAUGGAAUCUAUUCAAUAAAAUAAUAUGACUAAUGAAAAUCAACCACUAUUUAUUUUGACUAAACAAGUUACACAACUACUACAACCACCAAAUUCUCAUUUUUAAUUGUAAUUGUGUAAUGUUGAUGAACUUUU
rnacentral:sRNA from 1 species